rnacentral:rRNA from 1 species
GAUGCCCGCUGGCGGCGUGCCUAAUACAUGCAAGUCGCGCGAACAGACGAGGAGCUUGCUCCUCUGACGUUAGCGGCGGACGUGUGAGUACCACGUGGAUCACCUACUUCUAAGCCCGGGAUAACUUCGGGAAACCGGAGCUAAUACCGGAUAAUAUUUUGAACCGCAUGGUUCAAUAGUGAAAGACGGUUUUGCUGUCACUUAUAGAUGGAUCCGCGCCGCAUUAGCUAGUUGGUAAGGUAACGGCUUACCAAGGCAACGAUGCGUAGCCGACCUGAGAGGGUGAUCGGCCACACUGUAACUGAGACACGGUCCAGACUCCUACGGGAGGCAGCAGUAGGGAAUCUUCCGCAAUGGGCGAAAGCCUGACGGAGCAACGCCGCGUGAGUGAUGAAGGUCUUCGGAUCGUAAAACUCUGUUAUUAGGGAAGAACAAAUGUGUAAGUAACUAUGCACGUCUUGACGGUACCUAAUCAGAAAGCCACGGCUAACUACGUG